rnacentral:rRNA from 1 species
CCUACGGGAGGCAGCAGUAAGGAAUAUUGGUCAAUGGAGGCAACUCUGAACCAGCCAUGCCGCGUGCAGGAAGACGGCCCUAUGGGUUGUAAACUGCUUUUGAACUAGAGAAAACCUUGGUACGUGUACCGAGUUGAUAGUAUAGUUAGAAUAAGCAUCGGCUAACUUCGUGCCAGCAGCCGCGGUAAGACGAAGGAUGCAAGCGUUAUCCGGAUUCAUUGGGUUUAAAGGGUGCGUAGGCGGACUGAUAAGUCAGUGGUGAAAUCUCUCAGCUUAACUGAGAAACUGCCAUUGAUACUGUUAGUCUAGAGUACAGAUGGUGUGGGCGGAAUAUGACAUGUAGUGGUGAAAUACUUAGAUAUGUCAUAGAACACCGAUUGCGAAGGCAGCUCACAAAACUGUAACUGACGCUGAGGCACGAAAGUGCGGGGAUCAAACAGGAUUAGAUACCCUGGUAGUCCGCACCGUAAACGAUGAUUACUCGUUGUUGGCGAUAUGACAGUCAGCGACCAAGCGAAAGCGAUAAGAAUCCACCUGGGGAGUACGCCGGCAACGGUUGAAACUCAAANAGAGUUAGAGCGNGAGAGNGCGACGGACGACGACGAGGGAGAGG